ACCCUUCUGCUACAGGAGCCCACCAGAGCUGAAGUGCUUAGUGGCUCUUUUUAGGUUUUUUUUUGAAAACGUGUUCUCAGUAUGAUCUUCAGGCUGACCUCUAACUCACCAUUCUCCUGACACAUCCUUCCAAGGCCUGGGAUUACAGACGAGUCAGCCUCCGAAGCUCCUCCUGUAGAACCCACUCUUAAGGAGCACAUACGGAGACAAUGUGAGCUGGAGCAUUCAAGAGGACUGAGACAUAGAGACAAGGUGCUGGACAGGCAAGAGGAGCCUUCCAGGAAGAGUCCUGGCCUGAGCAGAAUGGAAGAGAAUUCGUGUACAGUGGAUUCCUAUGAGACAGCUUCAUGAAGUCCUAAGGAGAAGGAGGCUGAAGCCUAUGGCCAAAUGACUGGCAGAAGCUGCUGAAGAACUGGUCCAUCACAUGGACAUUUCAUGGUUCUCUUAGAACAAGCAUCUGGGACUUCCUCUCGAUUCAGGUGUGUAGUAUCCUGAUAGUGUGUGCUGAUGGGACUUUUAUAAGCAGUCCUUAUUAAUCACAGCUAGCAGAGAGUAAUUUGAACACAGAACAAAAAAUAUCUGAAUAAAUGUUCAUUGUUGGAA
ensembl:lincRNA Gm12092 predicted gene 12092